rnacentral:rRNA from 1 species
GACGAACGCUGGCGGCGUGCCUAACACAUGCAAGUUGAGCGACGAACCAGUGCUUGCCCUGGGGCAAAGCAGCGAACGGGUGAGUAACACGUGGGUAACCUACCCCGAUAACCGGGACAACCCGAGGAAACUCGGGCUAAUACCGGAUGUGCUCACUGGACUUCGGUUCAGUGCGUAAAGGAAGCUUCGGCCUCCGUAUCGGGAGGGGCCCGCGGCCCAUUAGUUUGUUGGUGAGGUAACGGCUCACCAAGACCGCGAUGGGUAGCUGGUCUGAGAGGACGAUCAGCCACACUGGGACUGAGACACGGCCCAGACUCCUACGGGAGGCAGCAGUGGGGAAUCUUGCGCAAUGCGCGAAAGCGUGACGCAGCAACGCCGCGUGGGGGAAGAAGGCCUUCGGGUUGUAAACCCCUUUCAGGAGGGACGAAGGUUCGGCGGUGAAUAGCCGUCCGGACUGACGGUACCUCCACAAGAAGCCCCGGCUAACUACGUG